CAGUCGCCGCGGUAAUACGAAGGGUGCAAGCGUUAAUCGGAAUUACUGGGCGUAAAGCGUGCGUAGGCGGUGAGUUAAGUCUGCUGUGAAAUCCCCGGGCUCAACCUGGGAAUGGCGGUGGAUACUGGCUCGCUAGAGUGUGUCAGAGGAUGGUGGAAUUCCCGGUGUAGCGGUGAAAUGCGUAGAGAUCGGGAGGAACAUCAGUGGCGAAGGCGGCCAUCUGGGACAACACUGACGCUGAGGCACGAAAGCGUGGGGAGCAAACAGGAUUAGAUACCCCAGUAGUCCCUGUCUCUUAUAC
rnacentral:rRNA from 1 species